AUUGAACGCUGGCGGCAGGCCUAACACAUGCAAGUCGAACGAGCGGCGGACGGGUGAGUAAUGUAUGGGGAUCUGCCCGAUAGAGGGGGAUAACUACUGGAAACGGUGGCUAAUACCGCAUACUAUCAGAUGAACCCAUAUGGGAUUAGCUAGUAGGUGGGGUAAUGGCUCACCUAGGCGACGAUCUCUAGCGUGUCUGAGAGGAUGAUCAGCCACACUGGGACUGAGACACGGCCCAGACUCCUACGGGAGGAAGCAGUGGGGAAUAUUGCACAAGGGGCGCAAGCCUGAUGCAGCCAUGCCGCGUGUAUGAAGAAGGCCUUGGGGUUGUAAAGUACUUUCAGCGGGGAGGCGUUACCCGCAGAAGAAGCACCGGCUAACUCCGUGCCAGCAGCCGCGGUAAUUC
rnacentral:rRNA from 1 species